rnacentral:lncRNA from 1 species
CGCUCAAUCGGAUUUUCAACACUUUUUCUCACGUCUGUCCUCGAAAUAUUAAGACAUUUUGAUAAGUCCAAAGCAUGAAUUUAAAUUAAAGAAAAAAUUUCAAAUAUCACUCCUAUGAUUUCGCAUUUACUUACUUUAGUAUCUUGUGGUUUAAAAUAUAUCAUUUUAGUAUUUUGUGGUUUCAUUUUUUUCUUUUUGUUAUCCCCUUCAUUAAUUUUUUUGUUAAAUCAGUAACAAAAUUAAAACCAAGAUACUAAAAUAAAAAUUCGGUUAACCACAGGAUACUAAAGUGGGUAUUUUUUAAACCCCAGGUGGGAUAUCUGAAGUUUUUUAUAUAUAAUUUGAUAGAGAGUUAACGGAAAUGCUGACAGAAAAAGAAAAAUAAAACCACAUGGUACUAAAGUGAGAAAGCGCGAAAUCAUAGAGAUGAUAUUUGAAGCUUACCUUAAAUUAAAUUGAAAAAUUUAUAACCCUAAGAGUCUGAUAAGACUCGAAUUUAAGACCUUCUAUUUUUAUAACAUGCUAAAUUAUAUAAAAUAAUCGUUAUUUUUUUAAAAUUUAGAACGAUAUUUUUAAUAUUUAUAUUCAGUGAUCCGAUAAUUAAAUGGUGCAUAGAAAAUUUCUUAACCCUAGAUCUAUAACAAAUUUUGUACUCUUUUAUCACACACAUGACUUUUCAUAUCAUCAUCACAAGUUGGCAAGAAAAGGACUUUAGGCCAGAAUAUUUAAUUCUCAUUCCCAACUUAAAAUAUUGCACUUAUUCCCCACAAGAUGAUAUUCCCAAAGAAGGCAAAUAGUGUAACAGUAGCUGGAUUUGUCUUAAAAGAUGCACUAUUUUUUUAGCUUCCCCAAC